UAGAGUUUUGAUCAUGGCUCAGAUUGAACGCUGGCGGCAGGCCUAACACAUGCAAGUCGAGCGGUAACAUUUCUAGCUUGCUAGAAGAUGACGAGCGGCGGACGGGUGAGUAAUGCUUGGGAACAUGCCUUUAGGUGGGGGACAACAGUUGGAAACGACUGCUAAUACCGCAUAAUGUCUACGGACCAAAGGGGGCUUCGGCUCUCGCCUUUAGAUUGGCCCAAGUGGGAUUAGCUAGUUGGUGAGGUAACGGCUCACCAAGGCGACGAUCCCUAGCUGGUUUGAGAGGAUGAUCAGCCACACUGGAACUGAGACACGGUCCAGACUCCUACGGGAGGCAGCAGUGGGGAAUAUUGCACAAUGGGCGCAAGCCUGAUGCAGCCAUGCCGCGUGUGUGAAGAAGGCCUUCGGGUUGUAAAGCACUUUCAGUAAGGAGGAAAGGUUGGUGGUUAAUACCCAUCAGCUGUGACGUUACUUACAGAAGAAGCACCGGCUAACUCCGUGCCAGCAGCCGCGGUAAUACGGAGGGUGCGAGCGUUAAUCGGAAUUACUGGGCGUAAAGCGUACGCAGGCGGUUGAUUAAGCGAGAUGUGAAAGCCCCGGGCUCAACCUGGGAACUGCAUUUCGAACUGGUCAACUAGAGUGUGAUAGAGGGUGGUAGAAUUUCAGGUGUAGCGGUGAAAUGCGUAGAGAUCUGAAGGAAUACCGAUGGCGAAGGCAGCCACCUGGGUCAACACUGACGCUCAUGUACGAAAGCGUGGGGAGCAAACAGGAUUAGAUACCCUGGUAGUCCACGCCGUAAACGAUGUCUACUAGAAGCUGGGGUCCUCGGACAACUUUUUCAAAGCUAACGCAUUAAGUAGACCGCCUGGGGAGUACGGCCGCAAGGUUAAAACUCAAAUGAAUUGACGGGGGCCCGCACAAGCGGUGGAGCAUGUGGUUUAAUUCGAUGCAACGCGAAGAACCUUACCUACACUUGACAUCCAGAGAAAUCGCUAGAGAUAGCUUUGUGCCUUCGGGAACUCUGAGACAGGUGCUGCAUGGCUGUCGUCAGCUCGUGUUGUGAGAUGUUGGGUUAAGUCCCGCAAAAAGCGCAACCCCUAUCCUUAGUUGCCAGCAAGACAU
rnacentral:rRNA from 1 species